AACGCGAAGAACCUUACCAAGGCUUGACAUAUACAGGAAUACGGCAGAGAUGUUGUAGCCGCAAGGUCUGUAUACAGGUGGUGCAUGGUUGUCGUCAGCUCGUGUCGUGAGAUGUUGGGUUAAGUCCCGCAACGAGCGCAACCCUUGCCAUUAGUUGCUACGAAAGGGCACUCUAAUGGGACUGCCGGUGACAAACCGGAGGAAGGUGGGGAUGACGUCAAGUCCUCAUGGCCCUUAUAGGUAGGGCUUCACACGUCAUACAAUGGUCGGUACAGAGGGUUGCCAACCCGCGAGGGGGAGCCAAUCCCAGAAAGCCGAUCGUAGUCCGGAUCGUAGUCUGCAACUCGACUACGUGAAGUCGGAAUCGCUAGUAAUCGCGGAUCAGAAUGCCGCGGUGAAUACGUUCCCGGGUCUUGUACACACCG
rnacentral:rRNA from 1 species